rnacentral:tRNA from 1 species
UCAAUGGUGGUUCAGUGGUAGAAUUCUCGCCUUCCAUGUGAGAGACUGGGGUUCAAUUCUCAGCCAUAGCA